rnacentral:rRNA from 1 species
UCUGGCAGCUGUGGAACGAUGCAUUACUCUCACAUGAUCGCCCACUGAAGCUAAGCAGGGCUGUGCACGGUCAGUACCUGGAUGGGAGACCACAUAAGAAAGCUAGGUUGCUGCCAAAA